rnacentral:rRNA from 1 species
CGGGACGGGUGAGUAAUGUAUGGGGAUCUGCCUGAUGGCGGGGGAUAACUACUGGAAACGGUAGCUAAUACCGCAUAAUGUCUACGGACCAAAGCGGGGGACCUUCGGGCCUCUUGCCAUCGGAUGUGCCCAGAUGGGAUUAGCUUGUAGGUAAGGUAACGGCUUACCUAGGCGACGAUCCCUAGCUGGUCUGAGAGGAUGAUCAGCCACACUGGGACUGAGACACGGCCCAG